AUACGUAGGGGGCGAGCGUUGUCCGGAAUGACUGGGCGUAAAGGGCGUGUAGGCGGCUGGAUAAGUCUGGAGUGAAAGUCCUGCAUUCAAUGUGGGAAUUGCUUUGGAGACUGUCUGGCUUGAGUGCGGAAGAGGGAAGUGGUAUUCCCAGUGUAGCGGUGAAAUGCGUAGAGAUUGGGAGGAACACCAGUGGCGAAGGCGACUUACUGGGCCGUAACUGACGCUGAGGCGCGAAAGCGUGGGGAGCGAACAGGAUUAGAUACCCUGGUAGUCCACGCGGUAAACGAUGAAUGCUAGGUGUAGGGGGUAUCGACCCCUCCUGUGCCGGAGUGAACACAAUAAGCAUUCCGCCUGGGGAGUACGGCCGCAAGGUUGAAACUCAAAUGAAUUGACGGGG
rnacentral:rRNA from 1 species